GACAGAGGGUGCAAACGUUGUUCGGAAUUACUGGGCAUAAAGCGCACGUAGGUGGUCCGCUAAGUCGCGUGUGAAAUCCCCCGGCUCAACCGGGGAAUUGCGCGCGAUACUGGCGGGCUAGAGUCCGGAAGAGGCGAGUGGAAUUCCUGGUGUAGCGGUGAAAUGCGCAGAUAUCAGGAGGAACACCAAUGGCGAAGGCAGCUCGCUGGGACGGUACUGACGCUGAGGCGCGAAAGCGUGGGGAGCGAACAGG
rnacentral:rRNA from 1 species